rnacentral:rRNA from 1 species
UGGGGAAUAUUGCGCAAUGGGGGGAACCCUGACGCAGCAACGCCGCGUGCAGGAAGAAGGUCUUCGGAUUGUAAACUGUUGUCGCAAGGGAAGAAGACAGUGACGGUACCUUGUGAGAAAGUCACGGCUAACUACGUGCCAGCAGCCGCGGUAAUACGUAGGUGACAAGCGUUGUCCGGAUUUACUGGGUGUAAAGGGCGCGUAGGCGGGAUAGCAAGUCAGUCGUGAAAUGCCGAGGCUUAACCUCGGAGCUGCGAUUGAAACUGUUAUUCUUGAGUAUCGGAGAGGAAAGCGGAAUUCCUAGUGUAGCGGUGAAAUGCGUAGAUAUUAGGAGGAACACCAGUGGCGAAGGCGGCUUUCUGGACGACAACUGACGCUGAGGCGCGAAAGUGUGGGGAGCAAACAGG